rnacentral:rRNA from 1 species
UACAGAGGUCGCAAGCGUUAAUCGGAUUUACUGGGCGUAAAGCGUGUGUAGGUGGUUGUUCAAGUCGGUUGUGAAAUCCCCGGGCUCAACCUGGGAACUGCUUCCGAGACUGAGCGACUAGAGAUCGGUAGAGGGCGGUGGAAUUUCCGGUGUAGCGGUGAAAUGCGUAGAUAUUCGGAAGAACACCAGUGGCGAAGGCGACUUACUGGACACAUAUUGACGCUGAGGUGCGAAAGCGUGGGGAGCAAACA